rnacentral:tRNA from 1 species
GUCCACGUAGUUCAGAAGGAUAGAACGUUACCCUCCUAAGGUAAAUGUCGCAGGUUCGACUCCUGUCGUGGACA